ACCGCUCCUCCACUUCCCCUCCCCCUCCCCCCCUCUCUCUUCCUCCCCCUCUUCCUCUCCCUCUUCUCGACCAACCCGCGACCUCCUAAAACCCUAACCCUAGCUCCCUCCGCGGCACAUUUGGACGAACCCUAACCCUAGCCCCGAGUCUUCUUCCAGCUCCUGUAGUUUCCACUUUCGAGGAUCAUCGGCGCAUUCCCCGUGGCUUUUCGAGAUCCACCACUGCGGGACCGAGGUACUCUCUCUAUCUCUCUCUUGCUCUCCGUUGUUGAUUUAUAGGGUUACCUUUUUAAGUUGUUGGUUUACUUUUCUGAAAAUUUCACUAUCACUUCGGGAGAUUCACCGAUUCGGCGAACUUCGUGCAGUACAAUUCCAACCAUCCCGUAUUAUGUAAAUUGUUUAUUUUAUUGGCCAUUUCUAUAGAUUUUCCUCGUCUUGUGGAGGUCAUUGUCUGUUUUUAGUGUGAUUAAGAGUUGGAAGCAUUCUCUGAAAUUUUUUGCCUUUUUUUGUUAUGUAUGGUAGGGAGUAUAUCUUUGUUUAAAUGUAUAAAAGAUGAUUUUUAUUCAUUCUGUUUGUAGAGGCGCUCCAGAUUAGGAGUUUCAGGCGCAGGAAAUAACCAGUGAAAAGUUUUUCGCAGGUAGCUUGACAAGGUCUCUUCAAAAGUAUUUUUGCGCCUGGAUUCGAGGAUAAAGCGUUAGUUUAUUGUAGUAUUCUGUAACAGUUGAAAUAAUGGGCUGUUUGCGCAUGGUGCCUUCUUUUUUUUGGUGUUCUCUAGUUAGGCCGUAGAUCAGAAUUCAGAAGCUUGUGGAUGCUAAUAUAUCCUCCUUUGCUGAACAAUGCAAACGAGGAAAAAGGUCCUUGCGAGAAAUGCAUCUAGAGAGUAUACUAACUCUAGAUCAUGUAGACAGCCUAAAAAGGUGACUUCAGCUGCUGAAAAGAAAGUUUCGGAUUUAAUCACGUCUUCUGCCAAGAAACAAAAAUCUGGUAAGCAGUUCCCUCUCUGAUUUCAUGGUAUCGAUAGAAAAAAGAUGACAUCAUUUUAUUUUAUAGAUUCUACUGCAGAUAUAUCGUUGAUAGGCUUUUGCUGCUUUUAUUUUGCUGCCUACAUUAUUAGGACUUCGCAAACAUUUAUGAUGCCAAAGUUUGACCCUGAAAUAUAACUUCUUUUAAAUGUUUAAUUUGACCCAUAUUCCGUAAGUUUCAAAAGUAAUGUCUAUCAGAGCAUUUAUAAUAUAUUUUACUAGAUUGUUUUUUUUUGUAUGUCUUUUCCAAGUGCCUACUACUUUUGUUUGAAUGCUCUGUGGUAGGUGGGUUUCGUCCUCUUUGUCAGGGGUUUCAUUAACAGUCUCAUGUAUUGCUUUGCGCUUUGAUGAGGUUGAAGUUUGGGAUUGAAAACUUUCUUGUUCUUGAUGGCAAUACAUAAAUCCGCUUUUGCAGUUGCUGUGAGACUCUCAAAGAAGAAUGGAAUUGCUGAAGUGGGAAGGAACCUGACUUCUGGAUGUGAUGUGACAGGUGAGAAUGAAGGUGUUUGUCCGCCAAAGAAGAUUUCCCUUGAUCAUAAG
rnacentral:lncRNA from 1 species